CAUUCUAUACACGAAAAUGUGGGACGUUGUAUGGUGUGUGCACUUUAAAACUUUUGAGGAAAAUUAAAGCAGCUAAAUAAACUACACAAAUCACUGUUAACGUAUAUGUUUAAAGCGGUAUACUAUUAAUUUAAGCGUUUGCUUUUGGAAAGCAACCUAGGUCUGCACUCUCCAAUAAAGGUUCUUGAGCUUUUAAAUAUCAUUUAUAAAAGUAAUUACCGCUGACCUAUAACGGGUAGUUGGUAAAUCCGCUUCACAAAUUUCAAAGCCUAUAGUUUAAAUUUAAAUGGCCUACUGCAAUUGAGAGCGCAAGAAAGGUUAGCUACCCAACGAGCUUUCCUAUAAGGGCAGUUUAAAUAAGUACGUAUUACGUAAUGAGACAAAAGCAUGAAGGAGUCUGUCAUAAUACAGAUAAUGACGGAACGAAAAAUACACGGUUAAGGUUUAAGAUAUGGCCGAGCUAAAAAUACACAAGGUUUGAGGCUGAGCUGGAAACAAGCGCGUUGUAGCUAUUACCGUUGACUAAUCUGGUAUCAUAGGUUUGGAGAGAGCUUUGGUUGUGUGGUGUACGAAAUUCUCCGUUCUCAAUCUUGCGAUUUUCGUGUCUGGUGCAAGUCGGUUUAAAGAAAACAACGAAACGUAUCAUUACGAACGAUCCAGUAUACUUAAAAUUCUUUGAUGGGUCUUGCGAUGAGCCACGCGCUAGGAUUUCAAGUUUAAUUGCCGCGUGACACUGAAUAGGUUAUGGUCGGGAUGUAGCACUUGAGGUGAAACGGUGCAGCGUGAUUUAACCACACACUGUGAACAAUUGUUACCAAACAGCCCCAACUUAGUUGUAAAAAUGAUCUUUGUUUUCAGCGAACUGCGGUAAAAGGGCUUACGCGGGGUACUGAACGUGUAAGCGGGGUAAAAACAAAGAAGCGGGGAGCAGCAGCCGAUUGUAACGAGAUCGGGUUGCACUGCAGCAAUGCCGCGUGGGCAACACCCGCUACUAUGCUAGUGCUUCACAACAAAUAACAAUUACAAUCGGCUAAGCAAUUAGGGCACUUGAUGGGCACCACGGCAUCGGGUUGCAGAACACGCGUAGGCUUGCUCGGACCGGAUUAGCUGGGAUCACAGCAUGCCAGCUAAAAGCAAGUGUUGAUAGUUUUUCUUGCUCCGCUGAUACAAUUUUGAAGUGGCGAUCAUCUCUCGCCGCAAGGAGUGGUGAUGCUUGAUUGGAAACAAGCGGCGUCCGGCUUGGCUACGAGCAUUGUGGUGUGUCGUAUAAUAAGAUACCGCCAUAUGCGCGCCAAGACAGAGCAGCCAUAGAUCAUUCUCCCCAUACUUCGCAAUUGUUUAUUGUGCCGGGUCAUCGUUGGCGCCUCAGACAUUGAAUAGCCACGAGCAAAGCGGAUUAAUCGAAAGAAACACGGAUCGGCUUCAUACUAAUACACAAAGCUUCAAUAUAUACGGCAUUUCCAAGAAACGAUUUCUUGGUCGACAAAAACUUACACGGAGGUUAUAUACUAGAUGACAUGUGAAAAGCAAGCCUGCUCUUUCUGCAACCGGGAUUAAUAGGAUUCUUUGAUAAUACGCACUUUUAAAAGAGGCAUUGUACCAGAGCAAUUUUUGACGUGUCAUUCCGUAAGUGUUGGUCUACAAAGGCUGUACGCUCUUAAUCAAAGACAUCGAGAUAUUCCCAGGGUAAGUAAUGGCCGUGAUGCGGCAGAACUCGAGUGUUUACAAUUCACCAGAUGAUGUUUUCGAGAUGCCACGCAGUAUUGCAUUGUCAUUGCACUCUGCAGUGAUUUGGAAUUUCAAAGAAUAUAGGGCAAUAAAAGGCGAGUUUGUGUAAGCUAUUCUGUUAACGUUUGCAUUCACCACAAGCUGUGGAACACCAACCCGUCUCGGUAACACAAACUGUGCGGAGAUAGAAUGACGUCGACACACCAUAACGAUCGCGGAUUGAAGUAUUGCAAUACCAUCCAUAAGAGCAUUAGACGGUAAACUGCGGUUGAGAUAAGAUCUUGGUAGGGACAUUUUGCUUCUUCCAUAAUUGCCCGUUUAGUGCAAGUCAAGUAAACCUUCACCUGUCUUGCGUUCGGUGGUAUCGGUCGAGUGGUAACGGAAACAACAGGAUGCAUUUCAGCUCACUUAAGCUUGGCUUCGAGUGGAUGGAUUUAGUUACAAAAGAAGCUGCAGCCGUUUGUCGUCGACUUCCAUGUUGUGCCUACACAAAUGGGACCAAGGGGCGCCAAGGCAACCCUGCGGUGUGGAGAAAACAACCCCAUUCGUCUUGGUAAAGAGAUCUGUGUACCGAGUGCGCAAAAGGAGGCUCUUAUCUGCCAAGUUUAAACACGGAAAUCUCCGUGAAGUCUACAUUUUAAAACGCGUUUUGCGCAGAUGCGCUCAUGCGGAAAUUUCACGCCAAUUUGACGUGAUACGCUUGCUGCGCAUGUUCAUUGCCGACUGGGCGAAAGUGACACGGACUGGCAACUUUAGUGACCAGGUAAUCGUAUAAACUUGGCUUCGUGACUUUGCUCUAUAUUUUAGAACGGUUAACGACUGUGCGAACUUUUGUUCUAAAUUAGAUAGGCCUUUCUCACGAGCCGCAACACGGUUAUGACGGCAACUGGAUUUAAAUAAAGCCUGCACAACCUAGCCACAGCCAAAUGGGCGCGAUUCCAGGACAUGCCCAGGAGCGCGUUUUGGUUAUUUUCGUCGUGUACGUAUGAACUUGACGUCACGAUUGUGGAACUUGCAUGUGAGAAACUUAGCAGGAACUAAACUUGAAGGGCAAGAUCAGAACAAAGCAACUGGUGUGUCUGGUGCCGUGGACAAAAAACGCAACAAAAACAACGUUAAGUUGAAACUGGUAGCUGAACAAAACCUCCAGACGGAAGCAUUAAAAGAUGACGUCACAGUAUGACCAAGCAGAAGCAUAAUCAUGCGAAACUUUAAAACCCCUUUACAAAUAUAUUAAAAAAAUGAUCGCCUUUACUUUUGGGUUGAGUCAUACGGCAAUUUAAAAAACCGGUUCCAAUGUGUGGUCAUGAUUCAACAAGUGAGGUGCAGGUGUGUGUGAAACAUGGUUCGUUGGGAUAUAUUACAAUUGAUUGAGCGGAGCUUUCCGGAGUGGCAGCUUCUAUACCUCCUGGGUUUGCGGCAGGUCGAUUAGAAUACAAGCGCAGCUGCAAUUAUUGGGAUGCUUGGAAAAUGCGCGCAUCCGGUUAUUUUAAUAGGCCAAUUGGUAGUUCAGUGCAUGGUGUUGGCUGAAGCAGGCCAUGACCGGUUAGAUUGGGAGAUUUUCUCCGUUCAAGCUUCGCGCACGUCACUGCAGUGGGAAAGGAAGUGAUUUAAAUUGGCGACUCCCAAUAUUAAACAAAAGCUGACCUUCGAAUGCAAUUAAUCGAACAAGUGGCUGAUCUGAUACGAAUUUGACAUUUCAUUGAACAAGAAUUGCCGCAAAUCCAAUCCGUGAGAAAUGUGUUUAAAUGCCAUUUGCGGUGGCGGUGGUGGUACAAGGAGAAACACGAAUUGACACAAAUCCAAAGUUUGAAUCUACAACGUUACAUGCAGAAGGUAGCAUUGACCUACUUUACGCUGCGGUCAACUGACCUAGUUUCGAAAAUACAACAACCGUUUAAACAGUUAAUAAGGGAGAAAUCUAUUUUUGCGGUUAAAAACACGUGUUGGCAUUCAAUGGAGGUAAAUAAAUAAGUUUUACUACAGCCCGAGCCUUCAACGAAUAACAAAAUUCCUAUUCGGUUUCGUGCAAACGAUCACAACAAACACAAGUAGCGUGGACAAGAGUAAAAGUUUAAUUUGUAAAAGGUAAGGGCGACUAAAAUGGACAGUGGCUAGCGUGUUCUCUUAUAGCGCGUACUUUUGGGGAUUUAAAGGGCGUUUUCAGUUCAUUGUUGAGACGGCGAGUCGACACGCUGCUGUGGAAGACAACGAUUCGUUGUUCGGACGCGGUCGGGUGGAACACCGUAAUAUUGACUCAACGACCUAACGCACAAGUAAUAAACUCCUGCUGAAUGAUGAGCAAGAGCUGCACGACCCUAUUACUAGGCUACUGGGGACGAACAUUCAAACCAAGCAGGAUUAGAUUAUUUGCGAAAACGCUCCUUGGUUCCAUUAACGAUGGACGUCGUAGGGAGUUGCAGCCAUGUGAAGCUUAAAUUGGAUAAUCUGCUGUUGUAGCAGAAACAGCAAUCCAGACACGAUUUUGUUGACGUUUAAGUCACGGGUAUCGAGCAAAGUAAUACGAUACCAACA